rnacentral:lncRNA from 1 species
GGGGGAGCCAGCACCGGGAGGGGAGGGGACGCUCCCCGCCGGCACCCCCGCUCCGGGGGAGCAUCUCCCCUCGGGGGAGCAUCCCCCCGCCGUGCCUGUGGCAGCGGGAGGGGAGUCUCCUCCUUCCUCCCUCCCACCCUCUGCUCUCUCCUCCCUCCCCGCCUGCCUGCAGCCGCAGCGCAGGGGCAGGAGGGAGCGGCGGCGGCGCAGGCAGAGCCGCCCGGCGGAGGCAGGAGGGCGGCCGGGCGGUGGCUGCGCCCCGGCCCCCCCCGGCCCCGGCCCCGGCCCCGGCCCCACCGCCCCCGGCCGUGCCGCCGGCAGGCUCCGCCCGUCGCUCCCAUGGCGCGGCGGCCCCGCGCCAGGUGAGGCUGCGCUGCCUGUUGCGCCGGGCCGUGCCGAGCCGUGCCGAGCCGUGCCGAGCCGCCGGGGGCGGCACACCGCGAAGUUUUGCGGGGAGGCGCCGCUCCGCGAUGUGUGCUUUUAAGAAGAGUAUUGAUGAUGAGGAAGUCCACACGUUAGUCAUUUUUUGCUAAUCCCACCGAAGAAAAUGAAGCCACACUUCAGCUUUGCCGAUCCUUUUCCUGCCACUGUUGGCUGAAUGAGAAAUGGUUGUGU